rnacentral:rRNA from 1 species
UACGAGGGGUGCAAGCGUUGCUCGGAAUUAUUGGGCGUAAAGGGCAGGUAGGUGGUCUCAUUUGUCUGGGGUGAAAGCCUUGAGCUUAACUCAAGAAGUGCUCCGGAAACGGUGAGACUCGAGUACUGGAGAGGGUCGUGGAAUUCCCGGUGUAGCGGUGAAAUGCGUAGAGAUCGGGAGGAACACCUGAGGCGAAGGCGGGUCUCUGGGCCGAUACUGACGCUGAGGAGCGAAAGCGUGGGGAGCGAACAGG